rnacentral:ncRNA from 1 species
GAUAACCCAGUAAUCCAGACCACCUUACCGUGGUCUGACUAGCCCACUGGGCCAUAGCCCGCGACCAAGGAUUUUUAAGCCUCCACUUAAGGGCCCCUUGGAACUGGUGGUCUGGGGCGCUGCAACCCGCAGUUAAAUUCGCAGUGGCCGGGGCUCGAACUCGUGAUGGCGGGUACCUCAGCCGAGGUUCCUUUACCACCAGAGCUAGAGGCUCCGGUUUUUUAUUUUUGCGGGGGGUUCUCUCGUUUCUUGAUUAAUUCCAGGAGAUUAUUUUGUGUUGUAAAAAAUGAAAAUCAGAAAAUGGAGGAAAUGAGAAGAGGGAGAUUCUUGUACAGUUUUUGGAAUGUUUGAAACAUGGUGUGAUUAUUACUUUGAAAAUGUAAUCUUUGAAAUUUCAUCGUGAUGGGAAUAGAUCAUUGCAAUUGUUGGUCUUCAACGAGGAAUUCUUAAUAAGCGCGAGCCAUCAACUCGCGUUGACUACGUCUCUGUCCUUUGUACACACCGCCCGUUUACCAAAAAAAAUGUACCAUGCUGUUUCUUCUCAACGUAUCUCAC